rnacentral:rRNA from 1 species
GAUGAACGCUGGCGGCGUGCCUAAUACAUGCAAGUCGAACGCACAGCGAAAGGUGCUUGCACCUUUCAAGUGAGUGGCGAACGGGUGAGUAACACGUGGAUAACCUACCUCAAGGUUGGGGAUAACAUUUGGAAACAGAUGCUAAUACCGAAUAAAACUUCGUAUCGCAUGAUACAAGGUUAAAAAGGCGCUACGGCGUCACCUAGAGAUGGAUCCGCGGUGCAUUAGUUAGUUGGUGGGUAAAGGCCUACCAAGACAAUGAUGCAUAGCCGAGUUGAGAGACUGAUCGGCCACAUUGGGACUGAGACACGGCCCAAACUCCUACGGGAGGCUGCAGUAGGGAAUCUUCCACAAUGGGCGAAAGCCUGAUGGAGCAACGCCGCGUGUGUGAUGAAGGCUUUCGGGUCGUAAAGCACUGUUGUAUGGGAAGAACAGCUAGAGUAGGGAAUGACUUUAGUUGACGGUACCAUACCAGAAAGGGACGGCUAAAUACGUGCCAGCAGCCG